AUUCAGUUGACGAGUCCCGAAUAGGGUGAAACUCGUGUGCUGAAU
rnacentral:hammerhead_ribozyme from 1 species